rnacentral:rRNA from 1 species
AUUCUUCGGAUGAUUUCCUAUUUGACUGAGCGGCGGACGGGUGAGUAACGCGUGGGUAACCUGCCUCAUACAGGGGGAUAACAGUUGGAAACGGCUGCUAAUACCGCAUAAGCGCACAGCAUCGCAUGAUGCAGUGCGAAAACUCCGGUGGUAUAAGAUGGACCCGCGUUGGAUUAGCUAGUUGGUGAGGUAACGGCCCACCAAGGCGACGAUCCAUAGCCGACCUGAGAGGAAGGUCCCCACAUUGGAACUGAGACACGGUCCAAACUCC